CGUCGGCGAUCCCCGGGCAGAUGAAGUGCACGUGCGCGUCGAUGGCGCCGGCGGUCAGGAUCCGCCCGUUGCCCGCGAUGAUCUCGGUCUCGGGCCCGAUGACCAGGUCCGGGUGGACGCCGUCCAUGGUGUCGGGGUUGCCGGCCUUGCCGAUGCCGGUGAUCCGGCCGUCGCGGAUGCCGAUGUCGGCCUUGACGACGCCCCAGUGGUCGACGACGACCGCGCCGGUGACGACCGUGUCCGGGGUGCCGUCCGCCCGGGUGGCCCGGGAUUGGCCCAUGGACUCGCGGAUG
rfam:Streptomyces griseoflavus Tu4000 genomic scaffold supercont1.1, whole genome shotgun sequence.